rnacentral:rRNA from 1 species
GACGUAGGGCGCGAGCGUUGUCCGGAUUUAUUGGGCGUAAAGAGCUCGUAGGCGGUUUCGUAAGUCGGAUGUGAAAACUCCAGCUCAACUUGGAGACGCCAUUCGAUACUGCGAUGACUUGAGUCCGGUAGGGGAGUGUGGAAUUCCUGGUGUAGCGGUGAAAUGCGCAGAUAUCAGGAGGAACACCGGCGGCGAAGGCGGCACUCUGGGCCGGUACUGACGCUGAGGAGCGAAAGCGUGGGUAGCAAACAGG